rnacentral:misc_RNA from 1 species
GGAAUUGCAGGUCGAGUGGGCUCCUGAGAGAGGAAAAAUAAGCAUCAAAAGUAACAAACUUGCUUGUAGGGCUAGGAGACCAUGAGAAACGAGAAAAGAGUCAGCACAGAUCAACCCCAUUGUAAAAUCCUCAAAGAAGAGAAGAUCGUAAUAGUAGCCAUAAGCUACGUUACGAAGCAUUAUAUAAUCCCAUGUGCAUGCACAAACACAGAAAAAUAUGAAGGUUGCUUGACAGAAUGGGAAGAUGCAUUAGCCAUUUAUAAGGCAAUGAAAAAUUAUAAACUUUGAUAUCAAUUGAAAGCUAUUAUACACUUUGAUAUCAAUUGAAAACCAUACAAAUGCACAAUAGCAAUGCAGUUAUGAAGUAAUACAGAAUUCAAUAAUUCUAGUUAAGUAUACCUAACAUUCAACUUUUCAAUGUCUCAAAUGGCAAUUCAAUUAACAAAACACAGGCACCUGCCUUUGCAACUUAAACUGACACUGAAUCAUCAGUAGCCUGCAACUAAUGAAAAGUAGUUGAUGAAAAGUUGGAAAAAAAAUAGCAGAAAGAAAUUAUGAAGCAAUCAAGCAAAACAAUGAGGACCAACAAAGAACAAGAAACAGCAAUCCUCCAACAAUCAUAUAAGUUUAAAAAGUAUAAGUUUAUUCUCAUAGUAAAUGUUGUCAAUAUCAACUUAAAUGGUUUAAAUAUUAAAAAAAUGGUAAAAUUUGUGUGAUUAUAAAAUAAAAGGAAAACCAAAAGAAAUUUACCAGCUCAUCAGAACGAUCUGAGA